CCUGUUGACUGGGGCUGCUUUUAACCCUUUCCUAUUUGUUGAGAAUGCAGCCGUGUGACAGUAACUGAACUUUGGUCUAAAGUCUUUCCAAAAGGUCAAGGUUCACAAGAACAUCUGCUCAAAUUCAUGACCAUGGGGGAUAUGAAGACCCCAGACUUUGAUGACCUCCUGGCAGCAUUUGACAUCCCAGAUAUGGUCGAUCCUAAAGCAGCUACUGAGUCUGGACACAAUGACCAUGAAAAGCCACAUGAAGCAGAACACUCAUGGGGAGGAUGAUGCCCAGCACCACCAUCUUCCAACGUGGGUGUCAGUGUUAUCAUCAAGAAUGUUGGGAACAUCCACUCCUCCGAGGGCAGGAGGAAAGACGGCCAUAACCCCACCGGCAAUGGCCUACAUAAUGGAUUCCUCACAGCGUCCUCCCUCGACAGUCACAGUAAAGAUGGAGUGAAGUCCUUGAAAGGAGAUGUGCCUGCCCCUGAGGUGACUCUGAAAGACUCGAUGUUCAGUCAGUUUAGCCCGAUCUCCAGUGCUGAAGAGUUUGAUGAUGAUGAGAAGAUGGAGGUGGAUGACCCCCUGACAAGGAGGACGUGCUAAGCUGCAGGUCCAACCUGUUGACGGGGUCCGCUCCCUGGCAGGGCUACGAUAAGCUGAAGGCACUCGGAGGGGAAAACUCCAGCAAAAUGGGACUCUCUGUAUCAGGCAAUAUGGAGAAAAACAAAGUUGUUAAGAGAGAAACAGAAGCCAAUUCUAUAAACCUGAGUGUUUGUGAACCUUUUAAAGUCAGAAAAGCAGAGGAUAAAUUGAAAGAAUGCUGGAAAACAGAGUCCUGGAUGGGAAGCCGAGCUCCAACAAGAAUGACACCGGCCUCCCUGGCGUUGUGCAAUGAAGACAAAGUCAUCCUCCAAGCUCUGGUCCUGCGUUGCUGCCAUCGCAGCUCUCAGCCCUAAAAAGGCGGCUUCAGACUCCUGCAAAGAACCAGUGGCCAAUUCGAGGGAAUCCUCCCUGUUACCAAAAGAAGCAAACGACAGUCGGAGUGCAGCCGACACGUCUCCUGAAUCCCAGAAUCUCAUCGAGGGUACCCAAAAAAAAAAACACCCCUAAAGCAACCGGAAAGUCCCAGAAGCAUCUCAAGUGAGAACAGCAGCAAGGGCUCCCUGUCCUCUCCUGCAGGGUCCACACCAGCAAUUCCCAAAGUCCGCAUAAAAACGAUUAAGACAUCUUCUGGGGAAAUCAAGAGAACAGUGACCAGGUUAUUGCCAGAAGUGGAUGCUGACUCUGGGAAGAAACUUUCCGAGCAGAUGGCGUCCCUGAUGGCCUCUGUGACAUCCAUUCUUUCGUCUCCAGCAUCAGCCACUGUCCUUUCCUCUCCCCCCAGGGCGCCUCUCCAGUCCGUGGUCAUGACCAACAGUUUCCCCUGCAGAGCUCACGCCCAAACAGGUCACAAUCAAGCCUGUGGCUACUGUUUUCCUCCCAGUGUCCACUGUGAAGACGGCAGGAUCCCAAAUCAUUAAUUUGAAGCUCGCUAACACCACCACGGUGAAAGUCAGGGUCAUAUCUGCUGCCUCUGUCCAGAGCUCCAGCAGCGCCAUCAUUAAAGCCGCCAACGCCAUCCAGCAGUAAAUUGUCAUGGUGCCGGCAUCCAGCCUGGCCAACGCCAAACUCGUGCCAAAGACUGUGCACCUUGCCAACCUUAACCUUUUGCCUCAGGGUGCCCAGGCCACCUCUGAACUCCACCAAGUGCUAACCAAACCUCAGCAACAAAUAAAGCAGGCAAUAAUCAAUGCAGCAGCCUCUCAAACCCCCAAAAAUGUGUCUUGAGUCCAGGUGAUGUCGUCCUUGCAGAGUUCUGUGGUGGAAGCUUUCAACAAGGUGCUGAGCAGUGUCAAUCCAGUCCCUGUUUACAUCCCAAACCUCAGUCCUCCCACCAAUGCAGGGAUCACAUUACCGAUGCCUGGGUACAAGUGCUUGGAGUGUGGGGACUCCUUUGCACUUGAAAAGAGUCUGACUCAGUACUCCGACAGACAGAGCAUGCACAUGAAGUAACGUGCAACCAUUGUACAAAGAACCUCAUUUUUUACAACAAAUGCAGCCUCCUUUCCCAUGCCCAUGGGCAUAAGGAGAAAGGGGUGGUAAUGUAAUGCUCCCACUUAAUUUUAAAGCCAGUCCCAGCAGAUCAAAUGGUAGUUUCUCCAUCAAGCAAUACUUUCACUUCAACUUCCACUCUUCAGAGCCCUGUGGGAGCCGGCACACACACACUCACAAAAAUUCAGUCUGGCAUAACUGGGACAGUCAUAUCAGCUCCUUCAAGCACUUCCAUCACCCCAGCCAUGCCCCUAGUUGAAGACCCCUCCGAACUGUGUAGAUAUAGUCUACAAUGUUUGGAGUGUAAUGAAGUCUUCUAGGACGAGACAUCACUGGCUACACAUUUCCAGCAGGCUGCAGAUCCGAGUGGACAAAAGACUUGCACCAUCUGCCAGAUGCUGCUUCCUAACCGGUGCAGUUACACAUCACACCAGAGAAUCCAUCAGCACAAAUCUCCCUACACCUGCCCUGAGUGCGGGGCCUUCUGCAGGUCUGUGCAUUUCCAGACCCAUGUCACCAAGAACUGUCUGCACUACACAAGAAGAGUUGGUUUUCAAUGUGUGCAUUGCAAUGUUGUGUACUCUGAUGUGGCUGCUCUGAAGUCUCACAUUCAAGGUUCUCACUGUGAAGUCUUCUACAAGUGUCCUAUUUGUCCAUUGGUGUUUAAGUCUGCCCCAAGCACACAUUCCCACGCCUACCUUCAGCAUCCUGGCAUCAAGAUAGGAGAACUAAAAAUAAUAUAUAAAUGUUCCAUGUGCGACACUGUGUUCACCCUGCAAACCCUGCUGUAUCGCCACUUUGACCAACACAUUGAAAACCAGAAGGCAUCUGUUUUCAAGUGUCCAGACUGUUUUCUUUUAUAUGUACAGAAGCAACUUAUAAUGGACCAUAUCAAGUCUAUGCAUGGCACAUUGAAAAGUAUUGAAGGAUCUCCAAAUUUGGGGUUAAACCUGCCUUAGAGCAUUAAGCCUGCAACUCAAAAUUCAGCAAAUCAGAACAAAGAGGACACCAAAUCCAUGACUGGGAAAGAGAAAUUGGAAAAGAAAUCUCCAUCUCUGGUGAAAAAAUCAAUGGAAACCAAGAAAGUGGCCAGUCCUGGGUGGACGUGUUGGGAGUGUGACCGCCUGUUCAUGCAGAGGGAUGUGUACAUAUCCCACGUGAGGAAGGAGCACGGGAAGCAAGUGAAGAAACACCCCUGUCGCCAGUGUGACAAGCCUUUCAGCUUGUCCCACAGCCUGUGCCAGCACAACCGGAUCAAGAACAAAGGCAUCAGGAAAGUGUACGCCUGCUCACACUGCCCAGACUCCAGACGUACCUUUACCAACCGGUUGAUGCUGAAGAAGCACGUCCAGCUGAUGCACCGCAUCAAGGACCCUGACCUGAAAGAAAUGAGACGAUGCCACCAAUGAAGAGGAAGCAGAAAUAAAAGAAGACACCAAGGUCCCCAGUCCCAAGUGGAAGCUGAAAAAACCGGUUCUGGAGUUCAGGCCUUCCAGAGGAGCCAUCACUCAAAAGCUGAACAUCAAUGUUUUUAAGGUCCACAAGUGUGCCGUGUGUGGCUUCUCCACCGAAAACCUGCUGCAGUUCCACGAACACAUCCCUCAGCACAAAUCGGAUGGUUCUUCCUACCAGUGCCGGGAGUGUGGUCUCUGCUACACAUCUCAUAUCUCUCUGUCCAGGCACUUCUUCAUCGUACACAGGUUAAGGGAACCUCAGCCAGUGUCCAAGCAAAAUGGGGCUGGGGAAGAUAACCAAUAGGAGAACAAACCCAGCCACGAGGAUGAAUCCCCUGAUGGCACCGUGUCAGACAGAAAGUGCAAAGUGUGCGCAAAAACUGUUGAAACUGAAGCUGCCUUAAACACUCACAUGCGGACACACGGCAUGGCCUUCAUCAAAUCCAGAAGGAUGAGCUCAGCCGAGAAAUAGCCACAGAUGCUCCAUGGGGAAAAUCCCUGUCCACAUUGGAAUAAAAAAGACAUUUUUGUUACAAAAAGUUUGCAGUAUAACAGAGUUAAUAGUGUAUGUUGCAAUAUAUUCUCUUUCAACGUACCUUCCUUCAGCUCGUUGUAUAUAUCCUCGAUAAGUAUUAAAACAGUAUUUGAGUUUAAAAGAGUUUGUAUAUAUUUAAAUGAAUAACUUUUUAUACUCUUUGUUACAUGUUUGUAUCAGUAUUUAGUGGAAAACCAUCUGAGUUGUUUUGGGUUAGAAUUUUUCUUUUUGUACCGUUUCUUUAAAACAGAGUUCUUAGUAACAGGGGCAGUUCCUGAAUUCAAAUAAACCAUUUUGUAUUUUUGGAUUUUGAAUGGGUUAACAAAUUACAGGCUAAAAUAAUGCCUUUUUUAGUGUUUUUAAUUUUUAGAAUUCACUACAUAAAUUGUAAGUAAUUGUGGGUCUCAAAAACACUAGGAACUUUUAAGUGUCUUAGCACUUCCUCGAUGGGCCUGCCCUGAGGGAGUGAGUUCACAUUUGACACAACUGCGCUCCACUGUGGGCGUGCCUUUGUCUUCAGGUCACGCCAAAGGGUGUUUAAAGCAGCCUUGCAGGUCACUCCUUUCCCAGCCGUGGAUAAAAACUGAAGCCAGGAAUCUAAUAAGGAAUGCUGAUUUCCUCAAAUCCAUUUUGAGGAAUGGGGAACACUAUUCAAAAGAAAAAAAUGGGACUGGUUUUCUGGGCAGAUCUGCAAGGCUGGCUUUAAGAGCACAAGGAGGGAAAAUAAUCAAAGGGCUGGACUACUAUAAAAGUUACAAAUAUGUAGUUAGACCAAUAGAUUUAUAUAGUCAGGUUUUUGUCAUGUAAUUUAUUAACUAUUACAGAAACACAACUAAGAAUAUCAAGCAUUUCUCUGGCUCUUGACAGAAAAAAAAUCAGUUGACUUAACCCUUUACUGUCAAAAGAGUUAGUGUUUCUUGUUCUGGAUGCUACUGCCAAACGUUCUGGUACUUAGAGUCGGGAUGGACAACUUCAACCACCAACUUAUCAAUGCAGCCGCCUGUGUAUUGCAAUUGGCCGUUACCUUAAGCACUGAGCCACCCGGGUUUAGUUCAGCCAUUUCAAGAGUAUAUUUAAUGCUAGUAAUUCUGCUUUAUUAAAAUGCAGCAGAGGUACUCUUCUGCCCCUUCUGUUUAUAGUUCUCUGAGAGAGUUCUAUUUUUUGGUUUUGUUUUGUGUUUUCUUUUGCAUUUUAUACCUUGUAUUUAUCCCUGAACAUGUUUUGUGCUUUUUUU